rnacentral:piRNA from 1 species
GUAGAGCGCUCGCUUAGCAUGCGAGAGGU